rnacentral:tRNA from 1 species
CAAUUGGUAUCUUAAAGUAAGAAUUGAUUUUUUAAAUCAAAAUAUAGUAAUAAUUAACUAAUUACUUCAAUUGA